AUGAACGCUGGCGGCGUGCCUAAUACAUGCAAGUCGAACGGGUGUAGCAAUACAUUAGUGGCGAACGGGUGAGUAACACGUUGGUGACCUGCCCUAAAGAGGGGAAUACCACUUCGAAAGGAGUGACAAAACCGCAUAAGCUAGUGCUAGUUAGAGAGGCAUUAGUAAAAGAGCGAUCUACUUUAGGAGGGGCCUGCGGCCCAUCAGCUAGUUGGUGAGGUAAAAGCCCACCAAGGCGAAGACGGGUAGGGGACCUGAGAGGGUGAUCCCCCACAAUGGAACUGAAACACGGUCCAUACACCUGCGGGUGGCAGCAGUAGGGAAUAUUGCUUAAUGGGCGAAAGCCUGAAGCAGCAACGCCGCGUGAACGAAGGAGGCCUUCGGGUCGUAAAGUUCUUUUACGUGGGAUGAGGAAGGACAGUACCACGAGAAUAAGUCUCGGCUAACUACGU
rnacentral:rRNA from 1 species